rnacentral:rRNA from 1 species
UACGAAGGGGGCUAGCGUUGCUCGGAAUUACUGGGCGUAAAGGGCGCGUAGGCGGAUACUUAAGUCGGGGGUGAAAGCCCGGGGCUCAACCUCGGAAUUGCCUUCGAUACUGGGUAUCUUGAGUUCGGGAGAGGUGAGUGGAAUGCCGAGUGUAGAGGUGAAAUUCGUAGAUAUUCGGCGGAACACCAGUGGCGAAGGCGACUCACUGGCCCGAUACUGACGCUGAUGCGCGAAAGCGUGGGGAGCAACAGGG